rnacentral:rRNA from 1 species
UGGGGAAUAUUGCACAAUGGGCGAAAGCCUGAUGCAGCAACGCCGCGUGAGUGAUGAAGGCCUUCGGGUUGUAAAGCUCUGUCUUCUGGGACGAUAAUGACGGUACCAGAGGAGGAAGCCACGGCUAACUACGUGCCAGCAGCCGCGGUAAUACGUAGGGGGCAAGCGUUGUCCGGAUUUACUGGGUGUAAAGGGUGCUCAGGCGGAUUUGUAAGUCAGAGGUGAAAUCUUACAGCUUAACUGUGAAACUGCCUUUGAUACUGCAAGCCUAGAGUAUGGAAGAGAGUGAUGGAAUAUCUGGUGUAGCAGUGAAAUGCGUAGAUAUCAGAUAGAACACCAAUGGCGAAGGCAGUCACUUGGUCCAUUACUGACGCUAAAGCACGAAAGCGUGGGUAGCAAACA